AGGAUCGUAGUGGCUAACAUUGCUGUCUUUCAUGAAAAAAUAUGUAGGAGAACACAGCAGCCCGGGGUUCGAUUCCCCGCGAUGGAA